rnacentral:lncRNA from 1 species
ACUUGCAGGUGAUCCUGAGUAGUCGGUGGUGGCUCAAGUGUCGUGUCUAGGGCUCUGAUACAUUCGGGAUGGGUUUACCUUGUUUUAUUUACAUUCCUUAUGUAUCAAUUUUGGAACUUGCUGAUAUAGCCCUAUUGUUGUUUGAAUUUAUUUGAUGAGGCUUUUAUGCCAGGAUAAUUUUAUGGAGAAUUAAACAGUUAUUGUUGUUGUUUUGAUGAGAAUAUUCCGCUGCUAAAUAAAUGAUGAUUUCGAUG